rnacentral:rRNA from 1 species
UACGUAGGGGGCAAGCGUUGUCCGGAUUUAUUGGGCGUAAAGAGCGUGUAGGCGGCCAGGUAGGUCCGCUGUGAAAACUCGAGGCUCAACCUCGAGAUGUCGGCGGAAACCAUCUGGCUAGAGUCCGGAAGAGGAGAGCGGAAUUCCCGGUGUAGAGGUGAAAUUCGUAGAUAUCGGGAGGAACACCAGUGGCGAAGGCGGCUCUCUGGGCAGAUACUGACACUGAGACGCGAAAGCGUGGGUAGCAAACAGG